AGAGUUUGAUCAUGGCUCAGAAUGAACGCUGGCGGCGCGCCUAAUACAUGCAAGUCGAGCGAGAAGACGUAGCAAUACGUUUGUAAAGCGGCGAACGGGUGAGGAAUACAUGGGUAACCUACCCUCGAGUGGGGAAUAACUAGCCGAAAGGUUAGCUAAUACCGCGUAUGCUCCUUGGACUUCGGUUCAGGGAGGAAAGCGAUACCGUGGGUAUCGCGCUCUUGGAUGGGCCCAUGUCCUAUCAGCUUGUUGGUGAGGUAACGGCUCACCAAGGCUUCGACGGGUAGCUGGUCUGAGAGGACGAUCAGCCACACUGGCACUGCGACACGGGCCAGACUCCUACGGGAGGCAGCAGUGGGGAAUCUUGCGCAAUGCGCGAAAGCGUGACGCAGCAACGCCGCGUGAGGGAAGACGGCCUUCGGGUUGUAAACCUCUUUCAGGAGGGACGAAGGUCCGCCCGCGAAUAGCGAGGCGGAUUGACGGUACCUCCAGAAGAAGCCCCGGCUAACUACGUGCCAGCAGCCGCGGUAAUACGUAGGGGGCAAGCGUUGUCCGGAAUCAUUGGGCGUAAAGCGCGCGUAGGCGGCCCGGUAAGUCCGCUGUAAAAGUCAAAGGCUCAACCUUUGAAUGCCGGUGGAUACUGUCGGGCUAGAGUCCGGAAGAGGCGAGUGGAAUUCCUGGUGUAGCGGUGGAAUGCGCAGAUAUCAGGAGGAACACCAAUAGCGAAGGCAGCUCGCUGGGACGGUACUGACGCUAAGGCGCGAAAGCGUGGGGAGCAAACAGGAUUAGAUACCCUGGUAGUCCACGCCGUAAACGAUGGGCACUAGGUGUGGGAGGUGUCGACUCCUCCCGUGCCGUCGCUAACGCACUAAGUGCCCCGCCUGGGGAGUACGGCCGCAAGGCUAAAACUCAAAGGAAUUGACGG
rnacentral:rRNA from 1 species